AUGGUAUUUCUGUUAAUAAAUAAAGCUGAGUUGAGCUUCAUGAUGCUCCUGCAGCACAAGAACCAGACUCAGAUUUAUGUGUUUCUCUGUUCUCCAACCAGAGCGUCCUGCCGCGCAAUGAUAUAUGUUAGCAGGUACACGAUGUACCUCUCGUAUGACUCCCUGCACAGCCUCGACCUGCUGCCUAGUGGGUUUCCAUCCUGCACGGGUGAGACCGGCCCUGCAGUGGGCCAUGACCCUGAAGCCGCCAGCAGUUGUGGUGGGCUCUCCGAAGCUACGUGCCCCGCGGAAGUCUGUGACGGAGGCAUGACUUCCCAUCACAUUGCUCAUGUCCUCAGUGCAGCACCCCGCCUUCGCGCCCAGCGGAGCUGCUGUUCCCAUGCAACCCCAGAAAAAAAUCACUGGAUGAAGGCGUGGCUGCUUGACAGGUACGAGUCCUUAACGUUCAACACUUGCCCCCAUCGGUCACUGCCAUGCAUGGAAGGUCGACCCACAGAGAUACACGUUGACCCGGCGGUAACGCCAAAGACGUGCCACAUCGUGGCGGCCAUGCCUCUGCAUAGGCAACAGAGAGUGCACGACAACCCACUUCGAGAAGAGGCCCUGGACGUCAUCGAACGUGUCCCGUAUGGCGAACCAGUGACCUGGUGCCACCAGAUUGUGGUCACCCGGAAGCACGACGGAACCCCCGUAAGACCGUCGAUAUCUCACCUCUUAACAAGUUCUGCAAGCAUGAGACUUUCACCACUGAGCCCCCAUUUCACCUGGCGCGCCGGAUCCCGAAAGGGACCUGGAAGAAUGUCACUGAACUGGAAGACUGCCUGGAACGGGUAUCACAGUGUGCCCCUGCGUGAGUCAGACCGUCAUCUCACUAGCUUCAUCACUCCUUUCGGCCGCUGGCGUUACACCAGAGCCCCGCAGUGCUUCCUGUCAUCUGGCGAUGGCUACAAUCGCUGCUUUGAUGCAAUCCUCUCAGACUUUGAGCGGAAGGAAAGGCGCGUGGAGGACACCAUCCACUAUGACACCAACCUAAAUAGGCAUUGGUGGAGAACAAUCGACCUCCUGACCCACGUUGGCCAAUCCGACAUUGUUUUGAACCCAUCCAAGUUUCAAUUUGCUGAGAGGGACGAUGAUUUUGCCGGUUUUAGGGUCUCCGAUGCUAUUAUUGAGCCCCUCCCAAAGUAUCUGACGGCCAUCAGGGACUUCCCCAUGCCUACCUUGACCACGGACAUCAGGAGCUGGUUUGGUCUGGCUAAUCAGGUGGCCAACUACGCACAGCUGCGCGAUAUAAUGGCACCAUUUAAGCCCUUUCUGAGCCCUCGAUGCAAAUUUGUGUGGUUGACCGAGUUAGAGGAAGUCUUUCAGGAAUCUGAGCUGGCCAUCGUGGACUCGAUCCGGGCAGGUGUAGAGAUCUACCACAUGGAGAGGCGCACUUGCCUCCACCCAGACUGGUCCAGGAGCGGCAUUGGAUACUUCCUCCUCCAGCAGCACUGCACCUGCAACUCUGGUUUCCCGGGCUGCUGUCCUGAUGGAUGGAAAAUUACUCUGGACGGCUCGCGCUUUCUCUCCUCUGCUGAGCAGCGAUACGCCGAUAUUGAGGGGGAGGCCUUGGCAGUAGCAUGGGGUCUGGAACAGACCAGAUAUUUCACGCAGGGGUGUGACAACCUGGUUGUGGUCACCAACCAUAAUCCCCUGGUGAAGAUCCUUGGGGACCAGACAUUGGAUGAGGUAACUAAGUCUCGCCUGUUCAGGCUCAAACAGCGCACACUCCCAUGGUGCUUUGACAUUGUGCACUUGCCUGGCAAGAGCAGCUGCACUGCCAAUGCCGCCCCCAGAUAUCCUUCGCCUUCUGGCUCGGAUGAGGGCCGCUGCAUAGGCGCAUGGAACGUGACUGAUAGCGAGGAGUCAGUGCAUAUGGCGUCUAUUUGCAGCGACGCACAGGAGUCUGCUGCCAUUGCAUGGCCCCUCCUCGCUCAGGAGACGGCCGCGGAUGCAUGCCUCUCCCACCUCCUGCACCUCAUUGAGGAUGGGGGCAACAAUGACCCAAAGGACCCGGUGCUGGCCGACCUGUCCAAGGUCCAUGAGUCAGUGUACGUGCAAGAUGGGGUCCUGCUGUAUUACGACCGCGUUGUUGUCCCCACAUCCCUUCGUUAG
ensembl:lncRNA